rnacentral:rRNA from 1 species
GCCCAGACUCCUACGGGAGGCAGCAGUGGGGGAUAUUGCACAAUGGGGGAAACCCUGAUGCAGCGACGCCGCGUGUGGGAAGACGGUCUUCUGGAUUGUAAACCACUGUCCCCAGGGACGAAAAUGACGGUACCUGGGGAGGAAGCUCCGGCUAACUACGUGCCAGCAGCCGCGGUAAUACGUAGGGAGCAAGCGUUGUCCGGAAUUACUGGGCGUAAGGGGAGCGUAGGCGGGGAUGCAAGUUGGGUGUCAAAACUAUCGGCUCAACCGAUAGUCGCACUCAAAACUGCAGCUCUUGAGUGAAGUAGAGGCAGGCGGAAUUCCUAGUGUAGCGGUGAAAUGCGUAGAUAUUAGGAGGAACACCAGUGGCGAAGGCGGUCUGCUGGACAGCAACUGACGCUGAGGCGCGAAAGCGUGGGGAGCAAACAGGAUUAGAUACCCUCGUA